AAUAAUAGUAAAAUAAUAAAAUUAUGUUUUAAGAAAAUUAAACCAUAACAGUAGCUCCAUUAUACACUUUCUGAAAUCAUGCCAUUUCAUUUCCUCCCAAAUCAGCUCUCACUAACCUUUUGCUCUUUCAAAAUACUGCCUUCUCUCUAGCUUUCUUUCCCGUUGAGCCAUUGGAAUUCCAUUUUGAAAGUGCAUAGACGAUCUUGACGUCACAGGCUCUGAGUUGCACCGAUCAAAUUUUCAGUUUAAUCGACUCUAGGAGCUGUCUUUGAUCACUACUUGUGGUCUUUAGGGUUUUUGGGAGUCCUUGAGAAUGUAGAAACUGCGGAGGAAAAAUCUUGAGCUGCACUUUGGGAUUUCCAGAGUCAAAGGAUGUUUCCCUGGAGCAAGCUUUGGAGACAGAGGAUCCAGCCACUACCUCUUAGGACCCUUUUUAUUAGAUCCCUUUACAAUAUUUUGAGGAACGUUUUAGUUUAUUUGUAUUUACUUAGUUUCUGAUUACUGUCCUUAGAUCUCUAUAUAUUUUGAGAGACUUUAUAAUCAUGUUGUAGUAUCUACUUUUCCAGGUUUUAUGUUAAACAUUUUUAUACCAUUACGAGAGACUUCCUUUGUAUGUAAAGUUUUAAGUUUACAACUCAUUUUGGAUGACUGUACUGAUUAUAAUUUCUAAGUAUAUCUUCAUACUGCUCUGUCAUAUUAUAAUGAUAAUAUCCUGUUAUAUUAUAUUGUACCAUAU